UACGUAGGGUGCGAGCGUUGUCCGGAAUUAUUGGGCGUAAAGGGCUCGUAGGCGGUUUGUCGCGUCGGGAGUGAAAACUCAGGGCUUAACCCUGAGCCUGCUCCCGAUACGGGCAGACUAGAGGUAUGCAGGGGAGAACGGAAUUCCUGGUGUAGCGGUGAAAUGCGCAGAUAUCAGGAGGAACACCGGUGGCGAAGGCGGUCCUCUGGGCAUUACCUGACGCUGAGGAGCGAAAGUGUGGGGAGCGAACAGG
rnacentral:rRNA from 1 species